UUUUCCUUCUUUAUUAUGCAUUUUCGGCCGGUGCGCCUUAUACUCCGUAGCGACUUAUACUGCGAAAAAUACGGUAAUUUCGGCGGUUCUUGAACUCACCAUAGUUUGGACUGUGACGCAACAGUAUGUAAAAUCUUCCACUCCUUCUUUGUCUCAUUUUGUCCACCAAAUGUUUUAUACUGUGUAUGAAUGCAAAAAAAAUGUGUUUUGUCGACGCUAUCGACUUGUUGGAGUGCUAAUCAGGCAUAUUUACUCAGUGCAUGACUGCAAAUUAAUAACUGCUAACAUGCUAUUUAGGCUAGCUGUAUGUACAUAUUGAAUAUAUGUAUAUUUGAGCUGAUUUAAUUUCCUUUACUUGUAUCCUUUUUGUAUAUAAUUAAAUAUUGCAUGUUGUAUGCAAUAUUGGCUGCCUUUCUGAUAGUUGUUUGUGCGCCAUGUUGUUCCAGACCACAGCAAACAUUACCUAGCUUGCCAAAGAUUGUAAUAAAUCUGUUAAAAGACGACAGUCUUAACUUGGACACACACACAUCUAUACCUUUGGACAUUAAAAGCCAGUAAUUUCCAGGAGUUAUCUCACCUUCUGAGUAGCCUCUGAUUUACUAAUGGUUUCUAAUGUAAAAAUGUGUAGAACAAAUAUUACAUUUCAACAUUUCUCUCAACGAAGAUUUACUUCAGCCUGCGACACAUAGUUAUUUUGAUAGUAGGCUAUUAUAGCAAAUAUAGACACUUACGUCAUGUGUUGUCUUCAUUAUAACACUUAUAUAAGACUUUUAAUUUUUUGCGGCUCCAGACAUAUUUGUUUUUUGUAUUUUUGGUCCAAUAUGGCUCUUUCAACGUUUUGGGAUGCCGACCCCUGAACAUGUUGGAUGCUGUGAGAAGGGGCGGGUGGAGGGUGGGUAGGGGCGUAGCAAGUGUGGCAAAAGUUGGGGCGGAGGCGGCGACGUAGGCCUUUCUGCUAUUCGUCAAACAGGAUAAAGGUUGUGUGUGUGUGUGUGUGUGUGUGUGUGUGUGUGUGUGUGUGGAGGUGCAUGAUGACAAUUUCCUGGAGCCGUGUGGGACGGCCAAGAUCAGGUCAGAUACGGAUGCCAUCCAGACGUCUUUUUUUUUUUUUUUUUUUUUUCUUCCAGGCCAGACUGAAAGUUUGACUUCCGAGCGUCUAGCGGCUAAUUACCUCGGCCCUCACUCCGUACAUGCCCCCCUCCGCCCAGGGAAGCCACAUCCUUAUCGAGCGGCAUUCCUCAGAUAAAUUGUAAUCUGUUAUUCUUGCUACUUAGGCCCUCUCGGAAUUAGCAUGGCCAUCAAAGCGGGGGCCGGGCGGCGGGAGGUGCACCGGACAGUGUCGGGCUGCAUACUGAUCAUAAUAAUAAUAAUAAUAAUAAUAAUAAUAGAUUUUAUUUGUAAGCACUUUACAUUGAGCAAACAACCUCAAAGUGCUACAGUGUAUUAAAAAAUAAAAAUAAAAAGAUAAUAAAAAUAAAUAAAAACUAGUACAGCCUAAUAGCUAAAACUAGUAUGUAUAUAUCUAAAAAAAAAAAAGGCUUUUUUAAAAAGAAGGGUUUUUAAGCCCGUUUUAAAAACAUCCACAGUCUGUGGUGCCCUCAGGUGGUCAGGGAGAGCGUUCCACAGACCGGGAGCGUCGGGCUGCAUACUGAUCAUAAUAAUAAUAAUAGAUUUUAUUUGUAAAAAAAAAAAGCACUUUAGAUUGAGCAAACAACCUCAAAGUGCUA